GCUUCGUCUCUCAGAGAAUUAUCCCGUACGGUUCACAGAAACGAGCGUCUCAGACGACACAUUUGGACGACACCAAUUUUGACACCACAGUAGUGGCAAUGGAAAGUAAUGCAGAUACUCUUGAAGAUAUAACAGAUAAUAAGCAGGGCAUGAACGAAGUAUGGAGGAUCUGUUUGAAAAUUCCAGACAUGAGAAAGAAAAUGACAGGGGGAAAUGUCCAGUUCAACGUUACCAGGACAAUUCAGCAAAGUUCCAACAGAUAUAAAAAAUCUGAAUUUGAGGCAAAUAUAUACUGUCAUGUAUAUAUAUAAGAUGGAUAAAGGACAUGAUACUUUAGCAGUGCUUCAGAGAAUCACAUUUGGCUACAGAAGUUUGUAGUAUUUUGGUUGUAAUCAAGUUAUUAAGCUGAAGAUGAAGAAACUUUCAAAAGAGUGGAGCAUUUAGAAGAUGGAACAAUCAAAUAUUAUUUGUUACUAUUUCAGUAACUUUUCAAAUGUUAACUGUUUAGAAUAUUCUUAAAUAUAAAUAUAAUUGAAUUUAA